rnacentral:lncRNA from 1 species
CUUUAACAAAAUUGAGGUUAAAUUAAGAUCAAAUAAAGAAUUAUCUGUUAGGUGGGUUUCUUGACUACUCUGUUGUUUCUAACUCUCGUUUAGACAUUUUGCAGAUAUUUCUCUUUCGCCAAGAGAUUGUCUAACAUGAUUUUAUUAAUUGGUAAUAAUAAAGUUUUACCAUGAAAAAUAAAUUGCACUAGCUAUCUACCACAGAAAUAAAUAAAAAAAAAACUGUAAAAUGCAUUGAUAGAAUAAAUUAUUAUCAUGUUUGUAAACCAUACAGUUCUUAAUCUAUUUUGACAGGUCACCAAAAUAAGGAUAGACAUGAAACCUGUCAUUGCGGUUUGUUUUUAAAGUUUGAAGGCAUAAAGGCUUCCCCGUGCACAGUGUAUUUGUGGCACAAAAAUAUCAUUGGGUGCAUAUUCCCAUUGAUGGUGCAAGCAUGAUGUAGUAUUAAUUGACUGAUAUUUAAUCUAGGACACCUCCUUACCGUUGUAGAUUCCUUAUCAUUGUAGAUUAUGGCAAAAAGAUUUUCCCCCUUCAAUCUCCAGUUUUUAUGUUGGCAAGCUUAUUAGAGGUAUCAUCAUGUGUUCUAGCUAAGAAUGUUAACAUUGUAGGAUUAAGAACACUUUUUUUUUUUCCUUUCUAGAGGUUUGCCAAUGAAGAAUGCUUGCAACACCAAAAACAUACCUGACAAAUAUAAUUGGAAAUUGUCAAAAUAAUAUAAGGAAAAUGAUAUUUUAACACCAAUCACAUUUUGACACGUGUGUAGAGUGAAAAUGGUGUGAUGGUGUUAAAAUAUUAUUUUCCAUAAUAAUAUAAUUACAGGGAGGCUAAGAUAUUUGCAACUGCAAGUCCGUAGUUCCAUAUUCUCUGAUGUUUUGUUGUCUCCUCGCUCCCCUAGUUUCGGCACUUCUUUUAGUGAAAGACCUUUUUCCAAUUUUGAAUACCAAUCAUUUAUUUAUUUUGGCAUUACUGGUGUAGUUUAAGGAAGAUAACCGCGUUGAACUACUUUAUAUACUUUUGGCACGGUUCACAGCUUCCACAUGCAUACAAAAAAAUUGCUCUUCUUUUCUUGUGACAGGGC